rnacentral:rRNA from 1 species
ACGCUGGCGGCACGCUUAACACAUGCAAGUCGAACGGAGUUAUUUGGAGCUUGCUCUGAAUAACUUAGUGGCGGACGGGUGAGUAACACGUGAGCAACCUGCCUUUGAGAGUGGAAUAGCUUCUGGAAACGGAUGGUAAUACCGCAUAACAUUACCGGACCGCAUGAUCUGGUAAUCAAAGAUUUAUCGCUCAAAGAUGGGCUCGCGCCUGAUUAGAUAGUUGGUGGGGUAACGGCCUACCAAGUCGACGAUCAGUAGCCGGACUGAGAGGUUGGACGGCCACAUUGGGACUGAGACACGGCCCAGACUCCUACGGGAGGCAGCAGUGGGGAAUAUUGCACAAUGGGCGGAAGCCUGAUGCCAGCGAUGCCGCGUGGAGGAAGAAGGUUUUCGGAUUGUAAACUCCUUAUCUGAGGGACGAUAAUGACGGUACCUCAGGAGAAAGCUCCGGCUAACUACGUGCCAGCCGCAGC